CCAAUAGCGUAUAUUGAAGUUGUUGCAGUUAAAAAACUCGUAGUUGAACUUCGGGAUCAAUUAGUUGGUCAUGCCUUGGUAUGUACUGAUUUUAUUGGUUCUCACCUUCUAAAGAACUAUAAUGUCAUUUAUUUGAUGUUAUAGGGAAUUAGGACUGUUACCUUGAAAAAAUUAGAGUGUUUAAAGCAGGCUCACGCUUGAAUACAUUAGCAUGGAAUAAUGAAAUAGGACAUCGCAUUCUAUUUUGUUGGUUUCUAGGAUCGAUGUAAUGAUUAAUAGGGAUAGUUAGGGGCAUUAGUAUUCAAUUGUCAGAGGUGAAAUUCUUGGAUUUAUUGAAGACUAACUACUGCGAAAGCAUUUGCCAAGGAUGUUUUCAUUAAUCAAGAACGAAAGUUAGGGGAUCGAAGACGAUCAGAUACCAUCGUAGUCUUAACCAUAAACUAUGCCGACUAGGGAUCGGAUGAUGUUGAUUUUUUAAUGACUCAUUCGGCGCCUUACG
rnacentral:rRNA from 1 species